AGAACUUGUCUAUACCAGUCAAAGGGGAUUCAGAUAACGGACAAAAGCCACCAGAGCAGGAAGAACUAUCAGCUGCCACUUCUCUGACACCGGACAUCUCCGUCUCCUGAGCAGCAACCAGAAAAACUAUCAGCUGCCGCUUUCCUGACACCGGACAUCUCCUUGCAGGAGGACGGACAGCUGUCUCCUGAGCAGCCUAACAGCAACUCAUCUGAUGAUGGAUUCAUAAGAAUCAGGGUUCCACUUGAACCAACUUUUUUUUUUCUUGAAAAGGAAAGAAUGGGCUAAUCUAAAAAAUAAGAGAUCCCAAAGAAGAUACAAGGGACUACAGUGGACAAAUCUGAUUUCAGACAGACUACGGACAGUGUUUCCAUAUUGUUCCUUUGCUUUCAAAGGGCACAGAGUCCAGGCUUUGGACUCAGUAAGAAAGGACCCUUUCUUCAGGUGUCUGGGUUACUGCAGUUUCGAGGAUUGUCCAGUGACUGUCAAUGUCACUGUAGAUAAAGAAGACGAUCUAAAGGCGAAAGUAAAUUUUCAAGAUCUCGAGUGUGUGCACAACCACUAUGAACUGAAAAGAAGACCAGUAAGAGCUCAUAAGAGAGAUAAAAUUGACCAUGAAUUGGAAAAACAAUUACCCAGAGCCAUGUAUCUGGAAAAAAUGAGCAAAAUGGAUGAUGAUGUUGUGCAAUCGGGGUGUAGAGAUGAAGUUCCAACUCCUCAAGUGUUGAGAAACAUAGCAUUGGAAAUCCGAAAGAAAAGUCGUCUUCAUCAUAAUGAGAUUAUGAGUCUCCAGUUAAUGGUGGCAAACAAGAAGAACAACCCAGAGGAUGUAUUGCAGAAAGUGAUGUUACAUCCAAAAGGUGUUUUUUUAUGGUCUUCCAAGAGCAUUGAAAUUUUCCAGAGCCGCUGUCGGGAGGACUUAGUUUAUUUGGAUGCUACAGGAAGUAUCAUGAAAAAAAGAAAGUGUUUGCCUCCUUUCUGUAUUUACGAACUUGUAGUAAGGAAUCCAUGGAAAACAUGCUCUCCCCUACCAGUGGCUACAUAUUUAACAUGUGACCAUACCACUGCCUCGGUCACAUAUUUUCUGGAAGCAUUUCUGACUGAUGUUGCAAGGGCCUUUGGGCGCAAAGCCAUGCAUUCAGCUGUAAUGCUUACGUGUGAUGGAUCUAUGGUCCUAAUGCAAGCUGUCUGUUUAGCUUUAGCAAAAAAAAAUCUGUCGGACACAAUAAAUCAUAAUUAUAACAUCACUUCGGGGAAAGGAAACAAGGAAGACUUCGAGGUUCCAAUUCUUCACAAAUGCCUUAGUUAUGUUAUGAAGAAUGCCAAGGAGAUCUGUAAAAAGUAGUAAGUGUAGUCGUUUUAAUACAGUAUUCACUUGUUUGUUUGUUUGUUUUUUAUUGUGACAUGUGACAUGGCAUUUCAUUUUUCACAUGGCAUUUCAUUUUUCAAUUUGGGAAAACUGUUUAUUAUUGUUUUGGAAACACUUAAAGAUAAUUUCUUCUUAAACUGCAGUGCACCAAAGAACUACCAUCUUGCAAUGCACACUGUUGGAGUCUUCACUACUGCAACUUCCUUAAAAGACCUCAGUGACAUGGUUCAAAGUGCUGCAGUUGCUUUUGGGAGUCCUUGUAGUGGUGAGAAUGUCGAAAAACAUUUUCACAACCUGCAGUUAUGGAUGCAGAAAGCCAAUGUUGAUGUUGAUGGUAAUGCUAGAAACUCAAAAGCUGAUGAGGACCUAAAGGUAAACUGAAGUCAAUUUUUAUUAAAGCUAAAGGCUACACUUUUGUCUCUUAUACUUCUUUUUAAAUACUUUGGAAUAGCAUAAUAAUCACAAGUCACAAGUAAUUUGAAAUGUUUUAUACAGGUUUGAUUCAGCUGGCGCCAGCGGGAUAGCCGCAUGAGUGAAG